CAGCCGCCGCGGUAAUGCGUAGGGUGCGAGCGUUAAUCGGAAUUACUGGGCGUAAAGCGUGCGCAGGCGGUUGUGUAAGACAGGUGUGAAAUCCCCGGGCUUAACCUGGGAACUGCGCUUGUGACUGCACAGCUAGAGUAUGGCAGAGGGGGGUGGAAUUCCACGUGUAGCAGUGAAAUACGUAGAGAUAUGGAGGAACACCGAUGGCGAAGGCAGCCCCCUGGGCCAAUACUGACGCUCAUGCACGAAAGCGUGGGGAGCAAACAGGAUUAGAUACCCCGGUAGUCCCUGUCUCUUAUAC
rnacentral:rRNA from 1 species